GGUGGCUCAGUGGUAGAGUGUUUGCCUAUCAUGCAUGAAGCCCUGGGUUUGAUUCCUUGGCACCA
rnacentral:tRNA from 1 species